rnacentral:rRNA from 1 species
GAUGAACGCUGGCGGCGUGCCUAAUACAUGCAAGUCGAGCGAACAGACGAGGAGCUUGCUCCUCUGACGUUAGCGGCGGACGGGUGAGUAACACGUGGAUAACCUACCUAUAAGACUGGGAUAACUUCGGGAAACCGGAGCUAAUACCGGAUAAUAUAUUGAACCGCAUGGUUCAAUAGUGAAAGACGGUUUUGCUGUCACUUAUAGAUGGAUCCGCGCCGCAUUAGCUAGUUGGUAAGGUAACGGCUUACCAAGGCAACGAUGCGUAGCCGACCUGAGAGGGUGAUCGGCCACACUGGAACUGAGACACGGUCCAGACUCCUACGGGAGGCAGCAGUAGGGAAUCUUCCGCAAUGGGCGAAAGCCUGACGGAGCAACGCCGCGUGAGUGAUGAAGGUCUUCGGAUCGUAAAACUCUGUUAUUAGGGAAGAACAAAUGUGUAAGUAACUAUGCACGUCUUGACGGUACCUAAUCAGAAAGCCACGGCUAACUACGUGCCAGCAGCCGCGGUAAUACGUAGGUGGCAAGCGUUAUCCGGAAUUAUUGGGCGUAAAGCGCGCGUAGGCGGUUUUUUAAGUCUGAUGUGAAAGCCCACGGCUCAACCGUGGAGGGUCAUUGGAAACUGGAAAACUUGAGUGCAGAAGAGGAAAGUGGAAUUCCAUGUGUAGCGGUGAAAUGCGCAGAGAUAUGGAGGAACACCAGUGGCGAAGGCGACUUUCUGGUCUGUAACUGACGCUGAUGUGCGAAAGCGUGGGGAUCAAACAGGAUUAGAUACCCUGGUAGUCCACGCCGUAAACGAUGAGUGCUAAGUGUUAGGGGGUUUCCGCCCCUUAGUGCUGCAGCUAACGCAUUAAGCACUCCGCCUGGGGAGUACGACCGCAAGGUUGAAACUCAAAGGAAUUGACGGGGACCCGCACAAGCGGUGGAGCAUGUGGUUUAAUU